GUCUCUCACUUCAUCCCGCCCCCCUCCCCUGUAUCCGUCUGACUGGCUGAAUAACAUAACAGAAACGGUCAAAGACUCUCACUUAACUAUCUUCCAACCGCCUUGCCUCCCUCUCCGCCCCCCUCUCCUUGUACGUCUCUUUACAUUUCUCCUCCAGCUGUGCCCUCAUCCAUGUUACCACGUUGGACAGUUUGCAGCUAGCAGCACAAGAGGCAGUGGGGGGUGGUGGAGGAUUUGUGCCAUGGAGACAGGAAGUUUCAAGCACCUGAGAAGAUGACAGCUUGACCCCCUGAGUCCGCCUUCACACAGCUGGCCCUCUAAGAGGGUCCGGGGGGGUCCGGCUGAAGGUCCACUAAGCCCCUCACAGUCCAUAUGGCCAGGGGGGCUUACGCACCCCGCGAUGACACGAGAAGGCGAGCCCAGAGGCUGGAAACGCGGCGCGGAGACAUUCAGAGAUGUGCGCUCAUGUGCGACACACUCUAGGAAAGGCCUCAUUUGUGUGAGCCCACGCACAUGUUUGGAUAACCACUUGUCUGGCUGCAAGGCGAGAGCGGGGGAAACUAACUCUACAGGAUGUGUGGCAUGGUGGAAUGUGUGCGUGUGUGUGUGUGUGUGUCAGGGUAAAUAAAGGAAGAGCAAUAAUGACUGUGAGUCAUAUGAUCCGGCUGCACGGUCAUACUAAUGGCAUUAGCCCCAUCGAGAGACCUGCAGGACUCCUCCUGUCCUUCUUGUCGCUGUGUUUCCUCCUCUCCUCUUCUCAGUUUCCUUCUCCUCGGUCCAACACGUCUUCCUCUCCGUCACUCAGCUUGUUUAUUGAUCUGUUUUAGAUUGUUCUAGACACACUGCCGCUGCAACUAUUAGGACUACCCACCUUUUUAAUUAGAUGGAAUCUCAUUACAGACCCAGAGAUACACUAACGCGAUAUCAAUCAUUUUUAUAGCGAUCAACUUGAUGUUCCAAAUUGAAAGAGGAUCAAGUGAAUAUUCUAAGAUACUGAACGUGUGAAGAGCCUGUUGUAAUUAUCCUAAGAAUACAGAUGGGUUUGUUGUUUUUUAAUGUCAGUCAGAUGUUUUGUUACAUGUGGAAAACAGAUUUGAAGUCAUAUGGAUAAUUAAUCAGCUGAAACUAGUGCUGAACACACAUCAAAGGAAUGGUUUCAUUUUGGGAUAUAUGUGUUUUUGGGCUUUUCCUGCUGAAAGAGUUCGGGUUGAAAAUAAAUGAUACCACAUGUGAUCGGUAAAUGUGAAGCUGAUGCGAGCACCCUGCUAGCUUAGCAUGAAAAGCUACCCUGGCUCUGUCCAAAGGCUAACAGAUGUCAACAAUUGUCUAC
ensembl:lncRNA